UGUGUCACAUACUAACCGAGAAGCUCCUCUCAUUCAUCUAUCUACCUUUAACUAUAUUACAUAUGUUUCCACCCAUCUCUCUACAACUCCGCUCUUUAGGUUCAAAAAUGGAACUAAUCUCUCUUCGUUUCUCUUAUCAAUCAAACUUGAAUAAAGUCCCUUUUUCGUUUCCAAUUUCCUUGAAAUUACUUCAAACAAACUCUAAUUUAGCAUCAACCUUGUCCUCUUCUUGUCAAUCAACACUAUAUCAUUUGCAAGUAGCAUACACCAUCGCACAUCCUCUUAAAUAUUAGCAGUUAGUUCAAGUAUGACUAGUAAUAAGGAGGAUGUCCUUGGAAUUGAACCUUAGUGGAAGCACACCAUGAUUAGAAAUACACUAGUGAAGCUACAACUACUAAGGCUUGUCUUUGCACCAACAUACAUAGACCCACCAAAUUAUCAUUCAUGACUUCAUGUUCUAUCAUAAGCGUUUUUUCCAUAUCAGCAAGAUUAUGUGUAGAGUCUUUUUUUGGUCUAGGCUAGACUACUUCCUUUUUUCUCUAUAUUGUACUAUAAAUUGCCAAAGUAAAAAAGUAGCUUCCAUUAUUGACCAUCCUAGUGUAAAGUCAAAUAGGUCAAAUAAUAUUGGUGUUUUCAUUUAAACUUUGUUCAAUCACCCUUUUCUCACAACUUCAGAUAGUGGUUCACAGGUUAGUCAAUGCUAUGUAGUAAUUUGGCAGCCUUCUAAGCACCCCAACAAAUUUUCCAGUUUCAUAUCAUUUGGUUGCUUGUAAAUUGUCAAUUUAGUUACAUUGUUAAUAUGUAAGUGGGUAAAGCCAUCUUGGAGUACACAAAAGGGCCUAUGAGCGCAUGAUUUUUCACUAAUCUAUCUUCUGACUUUCAAUUGAUUUUUCACUAGUGUGCUUAUGCAUUUCUAAUGACUUACAUGCUUGUGAAUCAAUGUGCUUACAUAUUGUGACUAACACCAUUCCCAUCAAAUAAGGACCCAAGGUAAGAGAUCAACUAAAGAGAUAAUUCACUACAUCCACUUAGCAUAUCAUUCGACGAGGGUGCUAUGCCAACACUUUCGAAUAUUUUACAUCUCAUAGAAAUCCAUUGAGCUAAGGAAGUCUCCAUAGAAGGUGAACAUGAAAGAUAGCAAGGAGAGAUGAGCAAGAGAAUCCAAAUACGAUUGACUAGCAGCUAGGGGAAUUACAGAGGCUCAUAGGUGGGCUCAUUAUCUAGAAGUUUGCAGGGAAUUGAAAAGGUUGUGCAGGAUCUUGAAGGUAUUCACAAGGAGUAAUGGUUAAUGUGAAUGUGGAGGUGGAGAAAUGGAGAAGACAUUUCCACAGGACUAGCAAGUGGUUGCUUGAAUUAAUAAGAGUUCAUGAAGUGGAUUAGACACACAAGAGCAUGACUAAUAUUCUGACUUGUUGUGCAUGACUGGUAGCGGGCACAUUAUAUGGUUAAAUGGAAAGUUAAGAUGACUUGAGUUAAUUUCCAU
rnacentral:lncRNA from 1 species